CAUCUAAGGGUUUCAGCCAAAUCGUCUCUCUCUAAGAAACCUAAUCGACCUCAUCUUCAACGUUACUUCACUUCAUCUUCCUUCCCGUAACUGUGAAUCAUCAAUCAUCAUGAUGAGAGUAUACGAACCGCUAAGGUAAUCAAUUGUAUUGAAUUGCACCAGCAAUCGUUCUCUUCUCCUCUCUAACAAAAGCAUCCCCAUCAUGAAGAUAACUCACGGUGUUCAGAUCUAGGGUUCCGGCUCUUCCCUGUCUUCUCCGAACUCAGGUUUCUUAAAGCACCUCCAACUCUCAUCAGCUUUCAGAAAUUUCAAGAGAUUUGGUGAUGCUUUUCCUCUUCGGGUCUCGAAUUGCAACCCUGUAAAGACAAAUUACAGGAGAACAAUUGUACUGAGGAUAUUAAUAAGUGAUGAAGUGAUAUUUUGUGUGGGGAUUCAAUGAGAAUUUGGGGAUGUUUGGAUUUGGAUUUUCAACUCUUGUCCUGCUGUUUAUAACCCAAUGCCCAAUGCCCAAUGCCCAAAGCAAAUAAGGAUGAAGUCUGGCUUAUGCAGAUUGCUGGACAUAAGGACCUUCUAGAGGGUGAUUCUUACUUAAAACAAAGAAUUAGAUUGCGAGAUUCGUCUAGCACAACCUUAAAUGUAUUUUAAGCUUAUACCCUAAAGCGAAUGUGUGACCCAAACCAUCAAGGGAGGUAGCAUGACUCUUUGGGAGCUUUAGACACUGGAGCGACUUUUGACAUGUAUCAGCAAGAGUUGAGAUGAAGUUAACUUGACUUGUUUUUACUUAACAAUGUAUCAGACUUGAAGGUGUUGUGAAAAAGUGCAGUUUCUUAUGCUCUCAACCACCAACUGAGCCUUGAUGAUUUAACUUAAAUAAUUGAUGAGGAAAAUAUAAAAGUCACAAUGGAAGCUUUCUUGAAUGCUCUUCAUGAAGUUAUUCCUGCUUUUGGUGCUUCAACAGACGAACUUGAACGUUGCAGUGGUAAGACUGCAAUGGCAGCAACUGUUGGUAUUGGUAGCGAUUUCUCCUAUGUGAAGAUUGUAAGUUCUUCUAUAUUUUAACUAUGGGACAAUUCCAUGAUACCCUUCAAUACUUAUCAUAUACCUGUCUAGGGUGGGGUUUGGCUACAAAGUCCAUUUUUUCUACAAAGUGUACAAACUCAUAAAACACCACAAUUUCAGUCAUAAAACACACUCAAAACCUAUAAAUAACAUAGUGAAGAUCACUAAAACACAAUAUCCAAACCCUAACAAUCCAUAAAAACUUCAAACACACCAUUCUAGAACUAUGAAUAUAACACACAACAGGAUAAUCAACAUAAAACACACUAAUAUUAGUCAUUCGAUAAUCAAAGUCUUAUCAUCUAAAACACAACACAAAACCCACAAAUAUGGCGUUUAGUAAUCUUCACUUUGUUAUUUGGGGGGUUUUGAGUUUGUUUUAUGGUUAACAUUAUGGUGUUUUAUGACUUUUUACACUUUAUAGGAAAAAUGGACUUUGUAGCCAACUCCCACCCUACCUGUCUAACAAAAAGUUAUAAUAUCAAAUAUACUCAUUUUCAAAUUUGUGACAUUUAUGAUACUUGUGGCUAUGCUCGUUGAUGGAUGGAUGGACAUCAUCAUACUGGUUCUAAAAUUGGCAAGGUCGGAAACAGAAAUAAAUCAAGAGGAACCCUCAUGUUUAUUGUUUUGGUAUCAUAAUUUACUGAUCAUUUCUCUUUUUUUUUUUACUUUACAAACAUUCAAUUGGUUUUUGACUUGUCAUUUUGUCGUGUGUAAAACGGUCCACGUCACAAGUACUCUUUAUUUGAUAUAUCGAUUAAAU
rnacentral:lncRNA from 1 species